AGAGACUCCCUUCCCACCCUCCGUGUGCCAAAAUAGUGUGUCACCCGCUCGGCUUAAGAGAGUUCCUGUCUUGGAAACCCCCAAGUGCCAUUUUCCUUAGCAGAUUCAGCCUGGCCGGGAGAAGGGUUGGGAAUGAACUCAGCCUUGAGUAUGCAAGCUACAGCUGUAGGCAAAGAGCAGUGAGACAUUGCAGUUGACAGUCCUUUGUCUGCCUGCCCCCUCUCCUGAAGCACCAACACCCCUCCUUCCUAGCGCCAAUGGAAUUGUUCUGCCUGCAGGUGCUUCAGGAACAAUGACCGAUUCUCCAUUUGCCUGUUCAUCCCCCACCGGGUGAAUAGAUGCUACCACACUUCAGCA
ensembl:lincRNA Gm2453 predicted gene 2453